UAAAAUAAGUUUAAAAAUUGGCUCGCGGUGAAUUAAAAUUAUUGACUUAAAUAGUUCUGCAUUCCGCACUGUAGCAGAAGAUUAUUUUGGACCGAGUUACGUUCGAAAUGAUUUGAGAUAUGAUUGAGUCGAGUCCUGUUUGAAAUUCUGUAAGGUUGGUUGAGCUGAAUUAUAAUUAAGACUCGUGAGUAUUGUGUCUGUAUACCUUAAGUGAGUUAAUUACGUAUUUCUAACCACUCGAGUUUUUGAAACUAAUGAUAUAUAAUAACGAUAUAACAAAAUUAUUUUUUUUAAAAAAAAAUUAACGGUAGAAAUAAAUUAUGAUGAAAUUAGUGAAAUAAAGCUGACGGUUUGAUGGGUACGUAG
rnacentral:lncRNA from 1 species